rnacentral:lncRNA from 1 species
CUGAAUGUAAAAUGUAUGCACUCAUGACGAAGUCACUUUGGACAAAAGCAUUUGCUAAAUGGCAUGUAGUAUUAUAUAUAUUAUAUAUUCCAGUACAAAAGGCUGUGAGCGAUCUCUAUCACUUCGCCUUUGUUUUUGUGCAAUAAGAGAUAACAAACAUAUCAGAGAGCAUGCAGAGCCAAGAGUAAAGACCUCUGGAGCCGCGGGAUCAUGAAUACGCUUGUUCAUCUGAGAAGAAAGCACUGUCUCUUUUCCAAGUUGUGAAGUAAGCCAAGAGACAUCUUGUUUCUAACAGUUUCUUCAGACAAUUUGUCCAUAUGCGAGCUGACUUUGUGUUUAUAGGUCCCAUGCCUAAUUUGAACACACACACACACAAACACACACACACACACACACAGGUGCGUGAACACACAUACACACAGGAACAUGCACACACAUGCUCUUACUUAGCUCCUCUGUUGUUCACUUGUGAGGUGCACUGUGCUUGGCGUACAUCAAUGCCUCUCUUGUUUUUUAGGACCCUGGGCUCCUUGAAAUGGUAUUUUUGUUCUGAGCUGAAAAAAACGUAUUCUUCUUGUCGGCUCUGAGCUUCGCAUUGCUGAGGGAAACCAGAGUUCACAGGAGAGACUUGACACUUUCUUAAUAGAGGUCUCAUUGGAACCCUGACCUGUUCACCGGACGUGCUACCUGUGCCCGACCUGCUGUUCUCAACUCUCUAGAGACAGCAGGAGCCGUAGAGAUACUCUCAAAGAUCGGCUAUGAAAAAGCCAACUGACACUUACUCUUGAGUUGCUGACUUGUUGCACCCUCGACAACUACUAUGAUUAUUAUUAUUUGACCAUGCUGGUCAUUUAUGAACAUUUUAACAUCUUGACCAUGUUCUGUUAUAAUAUCCACCCGGCACAGCCAGAAGAGGACUGGCCACCCCUCAUAGCCUGGUUCCUCUCUAGGUUUCUUCCUAGGUUUUGGCCUUUCUAGGGAGUUUUUCCUAGCCACCGUGCUUCUUUCACAUGCAUUGCUUGCUGUUUGGGGUUUUAGGCUGGGUUUCUGUACAGCACUUUGAGAUAUCAGCUGAUGUACGAAGGGCUAUAUAAAUAAAUAAAUACAUUUGAUUUGAUUUGAUUCAUUAUAAGAGGAUACUAAAACAAUAUAAGCAGUUCAUAGAUACUUUUGACAAGGCUUAUAAUGCAUUAGGAACACAUCAUAAUGCUUUUUACUGUAACUGUAUCCCUUAAGUCAAGUGUUAUUCAGUAUUUUGUUAACACAAAUAUCUAAAUCAGUACAGCACGUUCACAAGGAAUCACGACCAUCAGCUGCUGAGAGCUAUAAUUUGUUGCUUCAUUCCCAUGGGGUUGAUAAAGGUGGGUAGUAAGCACGAAUCAUGGUAUAGUGCAACCGAGAGAAUUCAAAAACACAUUUAAUAAAAAAUAAUGAUCGUGUCCUAUCUCAUGUAGAAUUACUAGAACAAAUCAUUAGAAGCUAUCAUUUGUCCCCUCAUCAUUCCCUGUGGUGUACUCAAGACCACAAACAAGAUGUCGCCUGAAAGACAUGGUUGCCUUGUUUCUAGCACCUAGCCAACUUGGAUAGAAUGGCACACCCCUUUUUCAAAAAUUCAGUUAAUUGAAAUGGUAUAUUUUUCAAAUAUCACCCUUUCUAAAACAAGCCAUACAAAGCUGGUUGCAAUUCCAGUUUGAUCCUCCAGAAAAGACAGAACAA